rnacentral:rRNA from 1 species
AGCGAACGCUGGCGGCAGGCCGAACACAUGCAAGUCGAACGCCCUAGCAAUAGGGAGUGGCAGACGGGUGAGUAACGCGUGGGAACCUUCCCUAUAGUACGGAAUAUACCAGGGAAACUUGGAGCAAUACCGUAUACGCCCGGAAGGGGAAAGAUUUAUCGCUAUAGGAUGGGCCCGCGUAGGUUUAGCUAGUUGGUGAGGUAAUGGCUCACCAAGGCGACGAUCCUUAGCUGGUCUGAGAGGAUGAUCAGCCACACUGGGACUGAGACACGGCCCAGACUCCUACGGGAGGCAGCAGUGGGGAAUAUUGGGCAAUGGGCGCAAGCCUGACCCAGCCAUGCCGCGUGAGUGACGACGGCCUUAGGGUUGUAAAGCUCUUUUGGCGGGGACGAUAAUGACGGUACCCGCAGAAUAAGCCCCGGCUAACUUCGUGCCAGCCGCCGCAGUAA